GUGUGUUUUCGUCUGAAAAACAGGGCUUUGACUCGCCUUCACACGGCGGGGGUCAGUGGUUCGAAUCCACUAGCGCCCACCA
rnacentral:tRNA from 1 species